AACGAACGCUGGCGGCGCGUUUUAAGCAUGCAAGUCGGACGGCAAGGAGAGUAGCAAUACUUUCCCUAGAGUGGCGAACGGGUGAGUAACACGUAGGUGAUCUACCUCUGGGUGGGGGAUAGCCCGUGGAAACACGGGGUAAUACCGCAUGAGGCCUUGUGGGUAAAGCCAUGAGGUGAAAGGUGCAAUUGCACCGUCUGGGGAUGAGCCUGCGGUCCAUUAGGUAGUUGGCGGGGUAAGAGCCCACCAAGCCGACGAUGGAUAGCCGGCCUGAGAGGGUGUACGGCCACACUGGAACUGAGACACGGUCCAGACUCCUACGGGAGGCAGCAGCUAAGAAUCUUCCGCAAUGGGGGAAACCCUGACGGAGCGACGCCGCGUGGAUGAUGAAGGCCGUAAGGUUGUAAAAUCCUUUUGUCGGUGAAGAAUAAGGGAGGGAGUGGAAAGCCCUUCUGAUGACGUUAGCCGACGAAUAAGCCCCGGCUAAUUACGUGCCAGCAGCCGCGGUAAUACGUAUGGGGCAAGCGUUGUUCGGAUUUAUUGGGCGUAAAGGGCGUGUAGGCGGCUCAUCAAGUCUGGUGUGAAAUCUUCAGGCUCAACCUGAGAUAUGCGCUGGAAACUGGUGGGCUUGAGUUCUUGAGGGGAAGCUGGAAUUCCAGGUGUAGGGGUGAAAUCUGUAGAUAUCUGGAAGAACACCGGUGGCGAAGGCGAGCUUCUAUCAGAGGACUGACGCUGAGGCGCGAAAGCGUGGGGAGCAAACAGGAUUAGAUACCCUGGUAGUCCACGCUGUAAACGAUGUGCACUAGGCGUGGGGCCCGUACGGGUUCUGUGCCGUAGUUAACGUGUUAAGUGCACCGCCUGGGGAGUAUGCUCGCAAGGGUG
rnacentral:rRNA from 1 species